AACGAACGCUGGCGGCAUGCCUAACACAUGCAAGUCGAACGAGACCUUCGGGUCUAGUGGCGCACGGAUGCGUAACGCGUGGGAACCUGCCCUUAGGUUCGGAAUAACUCAGAGAAAUUUGAGCUAAUACCGGAUAAUGUCUUCGGACCAAAGAUUUAUCGCCUUUGGAUGGGCCCGCGUAGGAUUAGCUUGUUGGUGGGGUAAUGGCCUACCAAGGCGACGAUCCUUAGCUGGUCUGAGAGGAUGAUCAGCCACACUGGGACUGAGACACGGCCCAGACUCCUACGGGAGGCAGCAGUGGGGAAUAUUGGACAAUGGGCGAAAGCCUGAUCCAGCAAUGCCGCGUGAGUGAUGAAGGCCUUAGGGUUGUAAAGCUCUUUUACCAGGGAUGAUAAUGACAGUACCUGGAGAAUAAGCUCCGGCUAACUCCGUG
rnacentral:rRNA from 1 species